UGCUCCAUGCAAGUGUCUCCGGUCUGCCGCUGUAUGGCCCUAGGGCUGGAAAAUGCAGAUUCCUGGCUCUGUGGUUCUUGUUAAUUUUAUCUAUUUAGUUUUUAAUUGGCACCCGAGGAUAUGCUUACUGAUUUUAAAGAGAGGGGAAGGGAAAGAGAAAAACAUUGAUGUGAGAAACAUCCAUGUUUCCUCCCGCAUGCACCCUGAUGGGAAAUGGAACACGCAACCUAGGCCUCGUGCUAGGAGCUGAGCUUUCUAUAAAAUGUCUGAGAUGCCCAGUGAUCCAGUUGUGGAAGUCAGCCAAAGAUGAAGCCUCCCUCAACAUCUCUACUGCCAAAGCCAAGGACACAGGAGGCCAAUUGGAGACCAAGGUUCACAAGAAACUGAUCUUUACUCAACAAAGUUCUACACAAGUGGAAUCUCACGCCACCUCGGCGCCAAUCCCCA